rnacentral:pre_miRNA from 1 species
UCGGUCGGAUCGGACCUCCACUGGUUUUAGCUUCGGUGAUAUUUCUAGAAUGAUUAUCACCGGGUGAAAAUCAGGGCAGGUCCGAUCCCAUCGAU